rnacentral:rRNA from 33 species
AUAAAUUAAAACUUUCAACAACGGAUCUCUUGGCUCUGGCAUCGAUGAAGAACGCAGCGAAAUGCGAUAAGUAAUGUGAAUUGCAGAAUUCAGUGAAUCAUCGAAUCUUUGAACGCACAUUGCGCCCGCCAGUAUUCUGGCGGGCAUGCCUGUUCGA